ACCCAUCUCCUCACGCCCCGCAUCCACCCUCAUCCCUCCUCUCUCUCCCGCAUCUUCUCCUCGCACUCUCUCGCCCCCUCGCCGCCAUGCGGCGGAUUUUUCAUAGAAUCGAGGCGCUCCUCCUCCGCAGUCCGCACCACCAUCGCGCCGCGCGCCUCCCCUCCAUCGUCGCACCUCCCCAACAUCGCCGCGCCGGCGCCCACCAUCGUCACUGCCGCCCAUCGCUCUCCACUGCGCCCCCUCGCCGCCGUGCGCCCUCCCAACCCUAACCCCUGCCGCUCAGGAUCCCCCCUCCCCCGCCUCUCCUCCUCCUCCCCACCGCCGACGACUAGCGCCGACGUUGUCCCCCCCCCCCCCCCCCCCGCCUUUCCUCCUUCCGCCCACCUGCCACCGACGCCGCCACCCCAGGCAAUCUGGAAUUUUUUUCUUCGCCGCCUCUCCGACGACUACCUGCCACCGCCGCCUCAACCAACAUCGCCGAUCCGGUCUCCCGUUGCUGUCCCUCGGCCGCUGAAGUCUCCUCGGACUCCAUCUCAACCGGCAUCACUGCCGCCGCCGCUGUCCCUCCGCUACCAAAAUCGUCACGCAUCGCCGGUCUCCUCCGACAAACUGCUUCGGCGACCUCCUCCUCGGCCUCCGCCUCAACCGCUGCCGAUAUGGAGCCACGCCGUCGUUCCUCCGCCGCCGAAAGGUAUCUUGAACCAAAACAUUCAGACUGAAGCACCUCAUGUGUUUUGUGAUCUUGAACCAAAACAUUCAGCCUGA
rnacentral:lncRNA from 1 species